GAUGAAGAACGUAGCGAAAUGCGAUAAGUAAUGCGAAUUGCAGAAUUCCAGUGAGUCAUCGAAUCUUUGAACGCACAUUGCGCCCAUUGGUAUUCCGAUGGGCAUGCCUGUUCGAGCGUCAUUUCAACCAUCAAGCCCCCGGCUUGUGUUGGGGACCUGCGGCUGCCGCAGGCCCUGAAAAGCAGUGGCGGGCUCGCUGUCACACCGAGCGUAGUAGAUUUUAUCUCGCUCAGGGCGUGCUGCGGGUUCCGGCCGUUAAACCACCUUCAUAACCCAAGGUUGACCUCGGAUCAGGUAGGAAGACCCGCUGAACUUAAGCAUAUCAAUAAGCGGAGGA
rnacentral:misc_RNA from 1 species